rfam:Punica granatum cultivar Dabenzi scaffold629, whole genome shotgun sequence.
UAAAAGGCUUUCUUGGAAGCCACCCAUCUUCAUCUAUAUAUAUGCAU